CACGUAGGGUGCGAGCGUUGUCCGGAAUUAUUGGGCGUAAAGAGCUCGUAGGCGGUGUGUCGCGUCGGCCGUGAAAACCUGCAGCUUAACUGUGGGCUUGCGGUCGAUACGGGCAUCACUGGAGUUCGGCAGGGGAGACUGGAAUUCCUGGUGUAGCGGUGAAAUGCGCAGAUAUCGGGAGGAACACCGGUGGCGAAGGCGGGUCUCUGGGCCGAUACUGACGCUGAGGAGCGAAAGCGUGGGGAGCGAACAGG
rnacentral:rRNA from 1 species